UAUAGGAGUGUGUGUGUGUGUGUGUGUGUGUGUGUGUGUGUGUAUAUAUAUAUAUAUAUAUAUAUACACACAUACAUACAUACACACACACACACACCUU